UGAGCUUGAUCCUGGCUCAGAACGAACGCUGGCGGCAGGCUUAACACAUGCAAGUCGAGCGCCCCGCAAGGGGAGCGGCAGACGGGUGAGUAACGCGUGGGAAUCUACCCAACUCUACGGAAUAACUCAGGGAAACUUGUGCUAAUACCGUAUACGCCCUUCGGGGGAAAGAUUUAUCGGAGUUGGAUGAGCCCGCGUUGGAUUAGCUAGUUGGUGGGGUAAAGGCCUACCAAGGCGACGAUCCAUAGCUGGUCUGAGAGGAUGAUCAGCCACAUUGGGACUGAGACACGGCCCAAACUCCUACGGGAGGCAGCAGUGGGGAAUAUUGGACAAUGGGCGCAAGCCUGAUCCAGCCAUGCCGCGUGUGUGAUGAAGGCCUUAGGGUUGUAAAGCACUUUCACCGGAGAAGAUAAUGACGGUAUCCGGAGAAGAAG
rnacentral:rRNA from 1 species